rnacentral:rRNA from 1 species
CAGCCGCCGCGGUAAUACGUAGGGUGCGAGCGUUAAUCGGAAUUACUGGGCGUAAAGCGUGCGCAGGCGGUUGUGUAAGACAGGUGUGAAAUCCCCGGGCUUAACCUGGGAACUGCGCUUGUGACUGCACAGCUAGAGUAUGGCAGAGGGGGGUGGAAUUCCACGUGUAGCAGUGAAAUGCGUAGAGAUGUGGAGGAACACCGAUGGCGAAGGCAGCCCCCUGGGCCAAUACUGACGCACAUGCACGAAAGCGUGGGGAGCAAACAGGAUUAGAUACCCGAGUAGUCCCUGUCUCUUAUAA